CAUUAGGUAACUUAAUUAAAAGUAUUGGUCUCUUAAACCAAAUUAUAGUAGUAAAAAUACUCUUAAUGA
rnacentral:tRNA from 1 species